CACCUCCUGCUGCUGUGCGGCCCGGUUCCUAACAGGACACGGACCGAGGUUCGCGGUUCGAGUCUAGCAGCUGCCCUGGUCAACACUGUGGUGUGCGAUGAUCGCUGUCGCACUACACGCCGUCUGCUUCGCUCACGGCGGACGCUAAACAUCCCCUGACAUCAUUCGCAAGAGGAGCACGGAACGCCUCACUCGAGCAUGGAGGACUCUCUUUCCGGAGGGGGUCCUACAUUGGGAUGUUUGGCCCAAUUCCAUGACCCAGCCGUCUUCACUCGCGAGAGGAGACCGGAGAUCCCGGAGAUUACCCCAUGCGUACGAGGGGGUGGACGCGCCCUACACCGUGGUAGGUGAACGCUGCACGUGAUGCACCUUUGGAACAAAAUCUAUAAACGACAAGAAACCCCCAUCGCCUACGCACGUAUGUCAACCACGCUCGUCGGAGGUAUGGGCCAAUGACAUCAUCAUGGCUGAAUAACAGCGCAAGCUGGAAAAGCACAAAGUUCAAACGAGACGCACAUUCUUCACACAUUUCCUGCGUGUCGUUUGAAAGUCAUAUAAUGGUCUGCUCGCCACGAGAGGGCUUCGGGAGAGAGAGUUGGUGUAGGAAUGGUGUUCCUCCUCCCUUGAAGGAGCGCAGUGCUUUUACUGUACGGACAACGCUUUGGUUUGCAUGGCCACAGCUGCACCACGGUCAUGGCCCCUGAUCGUGCGAGUCAUGGACAAUACGACACUCGGAGGUAUGCAGGGGCCCCGUGAUCGCCAAGCAAGCCACUCAGCCUUUCGGAGGAGGCGCUAAGUCUCGCGCCGUGCAGCACAGAGGCAACGUUGCCCGUCAGAGUUAAGCGUCUGAGAGCCCUCAUUACGAUAUUAGGACACUAAUCCGCACCUCCGAUUGGCGCGGUAGGCUUCGUACGGUGGAAAAGAAGUUCAACAUGCGACACUGUGCCCCUUGUGCCGCUGCCAACGUGGAUCGGUUGAACUCGUCCGUGCGCGAAUUAGAGGCGGCUCUCGGUAAGUGAGGAAACACGCUUCAACCGGGCACUCUUGCCACCAACGCAUUGCAGUACGACGUGGAUUGAUUGCAGUGUCUAAAUAUGGCCACAUCGCAGGAUGCCGGAGAGAAACAGAGGGCGUAUUUGCAUUGCAGAGAGAGACUGAGAGAGACAGUCGGUCAUAGGCAAGAUGUCUUGAACACGAAUGUUUGGCGGUAAGGGGGUUCCAGCCAAACGCAAGGAGGGCAGAGGAGAUUUAACAACCUCUCACCCAGUGGAGAUUGACUGAGAGUUUUGAUGGAAGGCAUUGAUUGCUGUAGCUGAGUGUGCGUGCAAGAGAGUAGAGUGAGGGAAGUGCGUGGAGGGGAGUAGAGUGAGAUGAGAGGUAGGAG